rnacentral:rRNA from 1 species
UACGUAGGGUGCAAGCGUUGUCCGGAAUUAUUGGGCGUAAAGAGCUCGUAGGCGGUUUGUCGCGUCUGCUGUGAAAACUCGGGGCUUAACCCCGGGCCUGCAGUGGGUACGGGCAGACUAGAGUGCGGUAGGGGAGACUGGAAUUCCUGGUGUAGCGGUGAAAUGCGCAGAUAUCAGGAGGAACACCGGUGGCGAAGGCGGGUCUCUGGACAGUUCCUGACGCUGGAGGCACGAAGGCCAGGGGAGCAAACGGG